AUAUUAGUUUGUGUGUGCGCUAAGUAAUCGCCCAGUUAGGCGGUCAUCUCUGGUGCUUGUUGCGCGGCCUCUUCCGUCCACGCAAUAUCUGCGGUUGUUGCUGGAUCCGCCGGUGCUUGCAAAUAUUUUGCAAAUUUCUGCUGACCUGUAAGCACACAUCUCAUCGACUCCCUAAUUUCUUUUGGUUCUGUUCAGGCUUUGCCAAUUCCAUACCUCCCGUUCAUAUGAAAUGCACCUUGAUCCCAAAAGAAUAAUUCACCAGCCGUUUAUAAGAAAAACCUAUUAUCCUUUUAAAGUAAUAAAAAAAAGGAGCCCCCACGUUCUCUCUCAUGACUUAGAAAUUCUGAUAUUAAUCGGAGAAAAAGAAAAUUAGAAUCCAUAAGAAAUAAAAUUUAAAAAUAAUAAAAAUUUAGAAUUAAAAAUAGGGAAUAUAAGAAGAGGAGACUAGAGCCCAUACAAGUAUACAAUUUAGAACUAAUUGAAACUCGAAAUUAAAAAAUAAGAAAAGUAAAACCUAGAAGUCAGAGUCCCUAUAGAAAUAUAAUUUAAAAAUAACUAAAAUUGGAAUUAGAAAAUACGAAAUAUCAGAACAAGAUUUCAUAGCUCAUACAGAAUAAUUUAGAAAAAAAGACUUAAAUUCAAGAUUAAAAAAUAAAGAAUAUUAAAAGAUGAGUUUAGAGUCCAUAUAUAAAUACAAUUAGAAACAACAGAAAUUCAGAAUUAAAAAAUAGAAAUAUUGAAAGAAGAGUCCAGAGUCCAUAUAGGAAUCUAGAACAAUUUGAAAGUCAAAUUGAGAAAAAAAAUAAAAAUAGAGCUUAGAGUCCAUAGAGAAAUACAAUUUAGAAAUAACUAAAAUUCAAAAUUAAAAAAAAUAAUAUUGGGAGAAGAAUCUAGAAUCCAUAUAAGAAUAUAAUUUAGACUCUAAGAAUAUAAUUUAUUUUAUAAUUUUAAAAAUAAGGAAUAGUGGAAAAAACUUAGAGUCCAUAUAGGAAUACAAUGAUAACAGAAAUUUGGAACUGAAGAAUAAGAAUAUUGAAAGAAGAAUAUAGAGUUCAUAUAGGAAUUUAGAUCAGUUGAAAGUCAGAAUUAAAAAAUUUGAAAAAUUAAAGGUAGAAUUUAGAGUCUAUAUAAAAAUACAAUUUAUAAGUAACUAAAAUUCAAAAUUUAAAAACUAACUAAGAUUGGGAGAAGAGUUUAGAGUACAUAUAGAAAUACAAUUUAGAAAUAAGUAAAUUCGAAAUUAGAAAAUAAUUAAUAACUAUCAAUACAAUACAAAAUUCAAAAUUGUGUUGUUAUUUGUAAUAUAUUUUGAUAAUAAAAUAUGCUAUAUUAUAUGAGAAAAAAUAACGAUGUUACAUGCUAGUUCUUUAGAAUGGCUACUGUAGAGGCGUAUGGAUAACAGUAAAUAACCAAAUUAAAGAAUACAUCAGUAUUUUCUUAACAAUGUACAGAUAUAAAAGAAAAAGAGAGGACCCUCAGUAAAUUUUCCUCCCUCCACAUUCUAGCAAAAACUC
rnacentral:sRNA from 1 species